rnacentral:rRNA from 1 species
UAUCAACGCUGGCGGCGUGCCUCAGACAUGCAAGUCGAACGAUUAAGACUUCCUUCGGGAAGUGUAUAAAGUGGCGCACGGGUGAGUAACACGUAAGUAAUCUACCUUCGAGUGGGGAAUAACAUCGGGAAACCGAUGCUAAUACCGCAUAAUGCAGCGGCAUCGCAAGAUGACAGUUGUUAAAGGAGCAAUUCGCUUGAAGAGGAGCUUGCGGCAGAUCAGCUAGUUGGUAAGGUAAUGGCUUACCAAGGCUACGAUCUGUAUCCGGUCUAAGAGGACGGUCGGACACACUGACACUGAAUAACGGGUCAGACUCCUACGGGAGGCAGCAGUCGGGAAUUUUGGGCAAUGGGCGAAAGCCUGACCCAGCAACGCCGCGUGAGGGAUGAAGUAUUUCGGUAUGUAAACCUCGAAAGAAUGGGAAGAAUAAAUGACGGUACCAUUUAUAAGCUCCGGCUAACUACGUGCCAGCCGCCGCCGUAAGAC